ACCUGUACCCAUGCCGAACACAGCAGUUAAGCCCUAGAACGCCUGAAGUAGUUGGGGGUUGCCCCCUGUUAGAUACGGUAGUCGCUUAGC
rnacentral:rRNA from 1 species